rfam:Dipodomys ordii contig_40934, whole genome shotgun sequence.
UGGGAAGGUGCUCAGUGGUAGAGCGCUUGCUUUGCAUGCAUGAGGCCCUGGGUUCAAUUUCUCAGCACCACAU